rnacentral:rRNA from 1 species
UACUCCUACGGGAGGCAGCAGCUAAGGAAUAUUGGUCAAUGGAGGGAACUCUGAACCAGCCAUGCCGCGUGCAGGACGACUGCCCUAUGGGUUGUAAACUGCUUUUGUCAGGGAAUAAACCUCCGGUCGUGACCGGAUCUGAAUGUACCUGAAGAAUAAGGAUCGGCUAACUCCGUGCCAGCAGCCGCGGUAAUA